rnacentral:tRNA from 1 species
AUUCAGAUAGUUUAAAAAAAAUAUUGAUUUGUGGUGUCAAAGAAAUAAUAGUUAUUCUGAAUU